AGUGUAGAUUCAGAGUUUGAUCCUGGCUCAGAGUGAACGCUGGCGGUAGGCCUAACACAUGCAAGUCGAACGGCAGCACAGAGGAGCUUGCUCCUUGGGUGGCGAGUGGCGGACGGGUGAGGAAUACAUCGGAAUCUACUCUGUCUGGGGGAUAACGUAGGGAAACUUACGCUAAUACCGCAUACGACCUACGGGUGAAAGCAGGGGAUCUUCGGACCUUGCGCGAUUGAAUGAGCCGAUGUCGGAUUAGCUAGUUGGCGGGGUAAAGGCCCACCAAGGCGACGAUCCGUAGCUGGUCUGAGAGGAUGAUCAGCCACACUGGAACUGAGACACGGUCCAG
rnacentral:rRNA from 1 species